UCCUCGGUCGGCGAAGGCGGAGGGCUCCGAUCCUGUUAGGACGAAUCAUUGCAAAGCGUUGCGAAUCGGGGGCAAAAGCUUCCGACGAUGCGAACGAGUAUCUGCCCUAUCAACUUUCAAUCGUAGUGUAGGGGACUACGAUGGUGAUAACGGGUACGGGGAAUUAGGGUUCGAUUCCGGAGAGUUAGCCUUAAAAAUGGCUAACAUUACCAAGGUAAGCAGCAGGCGCGUAAAUUAUCCAAUCCCGAUUCGGGGAGAUAGCGACGAGAAAUAUCGGUGUGGGGCCUUACGGGCUUCACGAUCGAAAUGAGUACAAUUUAAAAACCUUAACGAGGAACAAUUGGAGGGCAAGUCUGGUGCCAGCAGCCGCGGUAAUUCCAGCUCCAAGAGCGUAUAUUAAAGUUGUUGCGGUUAAAAAGCUCGUAGUUGAACCGAGGGGGCGGAGCGCGGUUAAAAAGCUUUCGGGUCUUCGCUUCUCGCGGGGGCUCGGAGGUCGCGGAUCCGUCUUCGAAUUUGCGGUGAAUUUACCAGCUCGGGGGGGAUUCCUUUCGCUCUAAAAAGGCGGGGGGAGUCUUCUUCUUGUUGGAUCGCAAAGUUUUACUUUGAAUAAAUUAGGGUGUUCAAAGCAGACGAAUACGUCUUGAAUAGAUUAGCAUGGGAUAAUAGAAUAAGACCUUCCUCCGCGAUCCGUCGCGGUUGGCUUAUAUUUGCUGGUUUCUUAGGCCAGGGUAAUGAUUAAUAGGGACGGUUGGGGUCGCUCGUACUCGGUGGUGAGAGGUGAAAUUCUAAGACCCAUCGAAGACGAACAAGUGCGAAGGCAUUCGACAAGGAUGUUUUCUUUAAUCAAGAACGAAAGUUAUGGGAUCGAAGAUGAUCAGAUACCGUCGUAGUCAUAACCGUAAACUAUGUUGACUCGGGAUCUGGGGAUGUUACAUGGAUGACUCUCCAGGCACCGUGUGCGAAAGCACAAGUAUUCGAACUCCGGGGGGAGUAUGGUCGCAAGGCUGAAACUUAAAGGAAUUGACGGAAGGGCACCACCAGGUGUGGAAUCUGCGGCUUAAUUUGACCCAACACGGGGAAACUUACCCGGUCAGGACGCGAUGAGGAUUGACAGAUCG
rnacentral:rRNA from 1 species